rnacentral:rRNA from 1 species
GACGAACGCUGGCGGCGUGCUUAACACAUGCAAGUCGAACGGAAAGGCCCUGCUUUUGUGGGGUGCUCGAGUGGCGAACGGGUGAGUAACACGUGAGUAACCUGCCCUUGACUUUGGGAUAACUUCAGGAAACUGGGGCUAAUACCGGAUAGGAGCUCCUGCUGCAUGGUGGGGGUUGGAAAGUUUCGGCGGUUGGGGAUGGACUCGCGGCUUAUCAGCUUGUUGGUGGGGUAGUGGCUUACCAAGGCUUUGACGGGUAGCCGGCCUGCGAGGGUGACCGGCCACAUUGGGGCUGAGAUACGGCCCAGACUCCUCCGGGAGGCAGCAGUGGGGAAUAUUGCACAAUGGGCGGAAGCCUGAUGCAGCAACGCCGCGUGCGGGAUGACGGCCUUCGGGUUGUAAACCGCUUUCGCCUGUGACGAAGCGUGAGUGACGGUAAUGGGUAAAGAAGCACCGGCUAACUACGUG